CAGAGGAAAGCUGAGGUCAAGGAAGUUAAAUAAAUGGUAUCUGAGAACCUACCUCUGGUGAUGGUCAUAUCGGUGUCUCCGAGGGUCGUACUCGCCCCCCACGUCCACCACGAUGUCACAGGAAGCGAGUUUUUCGGGAUCCCGGGUACGCACAAUCUCUGCAUCCUGCGAGAAUCUUGCUCUGGUCACCCAGGCUGGAGUGCAGUGGCGCGAUCUUGGCUCACUGCAACCUCCGUCUCCUGGGUUCAAGCGAUUCUCCUGCCUCAUCCUCCCGAAUAGCUGGGAUUAUAGGCAUGCACCACCAUGCCUGGGCUAACUUUGUAUCUUUACUAGAGACGGGGUUUCACCUUGGUGGCCAGGCUGGUCUUGAACUCCUAACCUCAGGUGAUCCACCUGCCUUGGCCUCCCAAAGUGCUGGGAUUACAGGCGUCAGCCACCGCGCCUGGCAUUGUUAAUAAAACUUUAACUCAGUGAUCCACUGUGGGGUCACUAACACAAAUUUAGGGUCUACAAUGCAUCAGUCAAUAUGCUAACACAGCUGGGUGUGGUGAGAAUGAGACUCUGUCUCGGAAAAAAAAAAAAAACAACUGCUAACCAAAGACAUAAAAACCAACACAAUAUGGUAUUAAAUGAGUCUGACAUAAUCAGAAAA
rnacentral:antisense_RNA from 1 species